rnacentral:lncRNA from 1 species
GGGGGUGGGGCAAGACCCAGGUGAUGGGGGAGAUCAAGGUGGCUCUGAAGAAGGAGGUGAAACAAGAGGGAGACCAGCUGAUCCUGGAAGUCCUACAGUGUAGAAACAUCACUUACAAAUUCAAGAGCCCAGACCACCUACCAGAUCUCUAUGUGAAGCUGUAUGUGGUGAACGUGGCGACUCAGAAGAGGAUUAUCAAGAAGAAGACCAGAGUGUGUCGUCACGACAGAGAACCCUCCUUCAACGAGACCUUUAGGUUCAGCCUCAACCCCACCGGACACUCCCUGCAGUUGUUCCUGGUGUCUAACGGGGUAAGUUUAUGAAGAAGACCCUGAUAGGAGAGGCCUACAUCUGGCUGGACAAGGUGGACAUGAGGAAGAGGGUGGUCAGCUGGCACAAGCUGCUGGUCAGCUCCACACACAACCAGUCAUGAGAGGUCAACUUGAGAGGACACCGAGGGGUCAACCAGAGGUCAGUGAAGAUCAAUGAAUACUUAUGGUCAAUGGCUGUUCUUUGUCAAGACGAGGAGGAGGAGUUGAGUUACACAGUGCCCUUCAUCCCCUUUGUGUUAUUCUGUAUGGAAAGAAAAGAGAGGGGGAGGAGAAGAAGAGAUAAGAGGGAAGGAAGAGGGGUUGCGGGUACGGACUCGCCCAGAAAGAACUGAUCCUCCUAUUCCCUCUCCCACUGCCAGACAUGGACUUUACCCUGAUCCUUAAUUGGACCAAAGACUGUCAGAGACUGUACCCUGAUUGGAUAGACUGCCAGCACGCACGCACGCACACACACACACACACACACACACACACACACACACACACACACACACACACACACACACACACACACACACACACACACACACACACACCGAGGAAUGAAGAAGUCCUCCGCUGUAAGAGGACACACACAUCUCACCACCUGUCAGCUCUCUGCUCGACAUGUCGGAUGCAAAACCUGACGUCAAACAGGACUGGGCAGCAAUAUCACAAAGAUAGUUACCAUGAUGGAGCUACUCAUUUCUGUUCUGUCUGAAUCUGAUACUGUUGUUUAUGGCUUAUCAGAUCAUUAUCAUUAUUGGGAUUGAUCUGUGAAAAUGUCAGUCAGUCAGUGAGUGGGGUUCAAAUUGAUGUAUUUGUUUGUGUGUUUUUGUCCUUGGCUGUUUGACAAAGUAUGGAAUGUUUGUUGUAAGAUUCUAUUUAUGUUGUGUACAAAAAGUACAGUGCAAUUAUAUUGUUGAUAAGUAAUUAACGAAACCUGACCAUACCUGAACUCUCAAGUCCAGUAGGUGACAGUAAUGUACCAUUACAGUUUGUUGCCAACAGCCAUAAAACUCCAACUUGACCUUACCUGGAAAGAUGUAGAUGUACAUUCAGAUUUAGAUAGAUAUAUGUCAGAAUAUGAAUCAUAUCAGAGACACAGUGUACAGAGAAAUGUUAUUUAUGACCAUAGAUGCAUAUAUUACAGAUGAUAUGAGGUGUCUCCUCAUGUACAGUUUAUUCUAAAGACUACAUUCUGGACAAACAAGGGUAUGGAAGGAGCACAGACAAUCCAAUCCCUUUAGCUCUGGUGUUAUGCAGUUAUACUGGGUGUUAUACAGUGGGAAAACAGGAAAAUGCAGUUCAAAUGGUGAAUGUAGAACUCAUAGCACAACUGAGACAGAGAGGAGAACAACUACAUGGAUAUCCGUCCUCUUACAGGUGGGGAGAAGAGAACAGAUAGAAGAGGAUGUCAGGUCCCUUCCCUUCAAACUCAUGGCAGUCUGAUAUAUUGUGUUGUGAGAGAGUCCAUUCCACAUACGGACAGCAGUGUGUAGGAAUCUUCCGUCCCCUCCCCUUAUUAUGUCCUGAACGUUACUCACUGAGGAAGAUCACAUGAUUUUACUGGACCCAUCAGACUGGUUAUGUUUUUGUGAUGUCUUACGCACAUGUGACUGGAGGCUUAAACAAUAGUUUUGGUUUGAGAGCAAAACCGAGAUUGCUGGCCACCUUGCCCAACCUGCAAUCGAACAGAGGGAUGUGUAGCCUCUCUCUGGUGAAGUGCUCUGCUCCCCUGUUUGGGCUCCUCACCUAUUCUAUGUUAAAGCAACAGUUAGACACACCUGUCCCCUGCGUGUGUGACAUCACAGUCUGGUUCUGUAAAAAAAACGGAACACCCAACAUCUUGCUGUAAACAGUACACUGUAAAUUGUGCACUGUGCAGUCAGUGUCAGUGGAUGUAAUGCGACAACACAGUGAACCAGCCUUUGUCACUGCCUCUGGUCAAAGCUCUAAGUCAUUACCUAUGGUCCAGUCAUAACACGGCCAGGACACACUGAUACACACUGAUAUACAGUCCAAAUCUAUGGGCUCAGAACCAUAUGGCACUACUGUUGUUAGUAUAUUAUUAUUGUCAGUGAUCUAUAUAGUGGAUCAUAGUGAACAACAUCCUCAAGUGACCCUACAGAGCUAGUACCCUCCACCCUAUCUGCAGGCAUAUCACUGAGCAACUAGGGGAGGACAGAUGCAAUUUCCUAAUAAAUUAAGUCCAUAUCAGAGGCUCGAAAUUCAGACACUGAGUCAAGAUGUCACAAAUGUUCAUAAGACAAAAAAAACGUGAUUUUAAAGAGGGUUAGUUUUACAGAAAAUGAUAUUGUCGUGCCAACCUUGUUUUGUAAGCAAACCCAUUGGUUGUGUUGAAGUCAUUCUAUGCAACAUAGACCUUGUGUUUGAAUGCAUUUUCUUAACAUGUAAUAUCAGUGAACAUUGUGUCUGAAAAUAUGUAUCUUAUGAAUAGAAUUUUAAUUUAUUUUGGUUUAUAUAUUAUUGAAGAAAAGUAUAAAAAAAAUAGAGAGAGAUUU